GAUGAACGCUAGCGGGAGGCCUAAUACAUGCAAGUCGAACGGUAACAGGUAGCAAUACGCUGACGAGUGGCGCACGGGUGCGUAACGCGUACACAAUCUGCCUUAUACUGGGGCAUAGCCUUUGGAAACGAAGAAUAAUUCCCCAUAACAUAUAGAAGAGGCAUCUCUUUUAUAUUAAAGCUCAGGCGGUAUAAGAUGAGUGUGCGUCCGAUUAGGUAGUUGGUGAGGUAACGGCUCACCAAGCCAACGAUCGGUAGCUGGUCUGAGAGGAUGAUCAGCCACACGGGCACUGAGACACGGGCCCGACUCCUACGGGAGGCAGCAGUAGGGAAUAUUGGACAAUGGGCGCAAGCCUGAUCCAGCCAUCCCGCGUGAAGGAUGAAGGUCCUCUGGAUUGUAAACUUCUUUUUCUUCGGGAAUAAAAACUAGGGGUUCUCCCCAGCUUGAAGGUACCGAAGGAAUAAGCACCGGCUAACUCCGUGCCAGCAGCCGCGGU
rnacentral:rRNA from 1 species